rnacentral:rRNA from 1 species
UGCAAGUCGAACGAUGAAGCCCAGCUUGCUGGGUGGAUUAGUGGCGAACGGGUGAGUAACACGUGAGUAACCUGCCCUUGACUCUAGGAUAAGCCCGGGAAACUGGGUCUAAUACUGGAUAGGAACGUCUACCGCAUGGUGGGUGUUGGAAAGAAUUUCGGUCAUGGAUGGACUCGCGGCCUAUCAGCUUGUUGGUGAGGUAAUGGCUCACCAAGGCGACGACGGGUAGCCGGCCUGAGAGGGUGACCGGCCACACUGGGACUGAGACACGGCCCAGACUCCUACGGGAGGCAGCAGUGGGGAAUAUUGCACAAUGGGCGAAAGCCUGAUGCAGCGACGCCGCGUGAGGGAUGACGGCCUUCGGGUUGUAAACCUCUUUCAGUAGGGAAGAAGCGAAAGUGACGGUACCUGCAGAAGAAGCACCGGCUAACUACGUGCCAGCAGCCGCGGUAAUACGUAGGGUGCGAGCGUUAUCCGGAAUUAUUGGGCGUAAAGAGCUCGUAGGCGGUUUGUCGCGUCUGUCGUGAAAGUCCGGGGCUUAACCCCGGAUCUGCGGUGGGUACGGGCAGACUAGAGUGCAGUAGGGGAGACUGGAAUUCCUGGUGUAGCGGUGGAAUGCGCAGAUAUCAGGAGGAACACCGAUGGCGAAGGCAGGUCUCUGGGCUGUAACUGACGCUGAGGAGCGAAAGCAUGGGGAGCGAACAGGAUUAGAUACCCUGGUAGUCCAUGCCGUAAACGUUGGGCACUAGGUGUGGGGAACAUUCCACGUUUUCCGCGCCGCAGCUAACGCAUUAAGUGCCCCGCCUGGGGAGUACGGCCGCAAGGCUAAAACUCAAAGGAAUUGACGGGGGCCCGCACAAGCGGCGGAGCAUGCGGAUUAAUUCGAUGCAACGCGAAGAACCUUACCAAGGCUUGACAUGUUCUCGAUCGCCGUAGAGAUACGGUUUCCCCUUUGGGGCGGGUUC